AGUGAACGCUGGCGGUAGGCCUAACACAUGCAAGUCGAACGGCAGCACAGUAAGAGCUUGCUCUUACGGGUGGCGAGUGGCGGACGGGUGAGGAAUACAUCGGGAUCUACUUUUUCGUGGGGGAUAACGUAGGGAAACUUACGCUAAUACCGCAUACGACCUACGGGUGAAAGCAGGGGAUCUUCGGACCUUGCGCGAUUGAAUGAGCCGAUGUCGGAUUAGCUAGUUGGCGGGGUAAAGGCCCACCAAGGCGACGAUCCGUAGCUGGUCUGAGAGGAUGAUCAGCCACACUGGAACUGAGACACGGUCCAGACUCCUACGGGAGGCAGCAGUGGGGAAUAUUGGACAAUGGGCGCAAGCCUGAUCCAGCCAUACCGCGUGGGUGAAGAAGGCCUUCGGGUUGUAAAGCCCUUUUGUUGGGAAAGAAAAGCAGCAGGUUAAUACCCCGCUGUCCUGACGGUACCCAAAGAAUAAGCACCGGCUAACUUCGUG
rnacentral:rRNA from 1 species